CGUAGGUAACCUGCCUGGUAGCGGGGGAUAACUAUUGAAACGAUAGCUAAUACCGCAUAAGAGUAGAUGUUGCAUGACAUUUACUUAAAAGAUGCAAUUGCAUCACUACCAGAUGGACCUGCGUUGUAUUAGCUAGUUGGUGGGGUAACGGCUCACCAAGGCGACGAUACAUAGCCGACCUGAGAGGGUGAUCGGCCACACUGGGACUGAGACACGGCCCAG
rnacentral:rRNA from 1 species